AUUGAACGCUGGCGGCAGGCCUAACACAUGCAAGUCGAGCGAGCGGCGGACGGGUGAGUAAUGUCUGGGAAACUGCCUGAUGGAGGGGGAUAACUACUGGAAACGGUAGCUAAUACCGCAUACCAUCAGAUGAGCCCAGAUGGGAUUAGCUAGUAGGUGGGGUAACGGCUCACCGGGGCGACGAUCCCUAGCUGGUCUGAGAGGCUGACGGGCCACACGGGAACUGAGACACGGUCAAGAUUCCUCCGGGAGGCAGCAGUGGGGAAUAUUGCACAAUGGGCGAAAGCCUGCUGCAGCCAUGCCGCGUGUAUGUAGAAGGCCUUCGGGUGGUAAAGUACUUUCAGCGAGGAGGCGUUACUCGCAGAAGAAGCACCGGCUAACUACGUGCCAGCAGCCGCGGUAAUUC
rnacentral:rRNA from 1 species